GGGCACUCUGAGUGUACUCUGGCACUCCAGAUUGAAUUUACGAACGCACCCUUAAUAUAUGGCUCUGGUUUUAGGCGGCAUAUUGUGACAUCACAACCACUCCCCCACUCAGAAUGCGUGCGAAUGCUUAGUGGAGAUAACCGACACACGGAACAUGAGUGUUACUUUUUCUGGUGCCAUUUAGCGAACACCAGAGACAUACCUGUACGCACUACGUCCGCCCCAGACGGGGAGGGGUUUUGAAUGUUUUUGUGUGACUGUCAAGUCGACUCUAAUUUGAAAUCGAGAAAAUAAGACGUCGGACUGAAGAUCAAACCUAUAGUUUACGGACUCCGGUCUGUUUUGCGUUCUAGUUCCUAUGAUAUAUUUUUAUUGAGAAGCAAUCAGUCAAGGAAUAUUAAGUCUGUUCUGGUGUGGUGCUGGGGAUUUUAUAUCCACCUCGUCUUUUUAGAAGAAUGGCGAGAGACGCUAAACAUUGCCCCCUAUCACCAAUGAAAAACAGUUUGUUGGUGACAGCAGGGAUACUUCUGAUUAUUCAAGGGGGAGUGACUUAUAGGCACCCAAUUGUCACACUGGGUGAGUGAUUGCUGCAGAGGCUGCUAAUAAGAUGCAUUCUCUUUCAAGUAUGCUCGGUUACAUUUUUUGCAUGCCAUUUCCAGCAGGCCCGAUCUGAUGUUCCAGGCGUAUAAAAUCCAGGCCUACACAAAUGUUUCAACAGUUAAGACUGUUUAACUGGUGAGCGCGAGUGCAGAAGGGAUGUGGGCACAUGCUAAGGAGACUUGCUGUUCGCAGCAUCACACGUUCUUGCACAUUGACAGGAGGUUGUCGGAAUCCUCCGGCACACGGCACUGAACACCGUUGAUGAGACACAGGGGCAUGAUCUGAUCCAACUAGAAUACAGAACAACUGGAAUAACUCAAAACAGUCUCCCAGUAAGCGGGACCACAUGUCCCUGAUUGUGUGGGAUAGUCCCGCAUUUCAGCCCAUUGUUCCGUGUCCCGCGACCAAACAAUCAUCUCCCGCAUUUUAUCAACAAAUUCAAACACCGCAAAUUUAGAAAAAAAAGGUAGAGUUGUCCCAUAUUUCAGUCAGACAUUCCAACAUGUCUCUUGCAGUCACGUUGCACUUAUGGGAAAGUGAUGCUCCUCAUCCAAUCUGACAGCGCUUGAGAGGAUUUGCAGAGAAGAAUGGGAGAAACUCCCCAAAUACAGGUGUGCCGAGCUUGUAGCGUCAUACCCAAGAAGACUCGAGGCUGGAAUCAUUGCCAAAGGUGCUUCAAUGUACUGAGUAAAGGGUCUGAAUACAUGUAAAUGUGAUUUUUCAGUUCUUUGUUAAUACAUUUGCAAAAAUGUCUAAAAAGCUGUUUUUGCUUUUGGCAUGAUGGGGUGUUCUGUGUAGAUUGAUGYGGGGGGGGGGGGACUAUUCAAUCCAUUUUAGAACAAGGCUGUAACGUAACAAAAUGUGGAAAAAGUCAUGGUCUGAAUACUUUCUGAACGCACUCUAUAUAUUGUAUCAUAAGGAUGUUGUUCUGGUGAUUAACAUUUCUCCAAUCGUUGUUGAGCUCUGAUGUUCUGUGCAGCGCAAGAGGAGACGUAGGCCAAUGUCAUUGGUUGACGAUAUACCUAUCACAUUUCUCAAAUCCUUUCAGGCUAAACUUUGAGAGGACAGUUAGGCCUCACUACUUACAAAAAGCGUGCUUCUGACAAAGAGCUACAAAAGUAAUUCAAUAGCCGUAUUCAGGGGAGGCCCAUCCUCAGUGAACUUCAUGAAAAUGUUAAAACAUUUUCAGAAGUUAUCCUUCUUAGAUAUAACUAUACUAAAUAUAUUCACG
rnacentral:lncRNA from 1 species